UCUCUCUCUCUCUCUCUCUCUCUCUCUCUCUCUCUCUCCUAUCCCUCCUCUCCAUCUCCCUAUUGCAUUGUGUCUGACUGAUUUUCAGAGCACCUUCUCUCUCUCUCUCUCUCUCUCUCUCUCUCUCUCUCAUUUUCUUUCUGUAAAAUAUCUAGACAGGAAGGAGGUGGCUGCAGAAGCUGAACAAACAAUCUCACAUUCUGCCUGCAAUGUCAUCGUUCUCUCCCUCAUUUUAGGGGGGUGAAGUUACCCAGGAAGGGAUGCAGAGGAGCUGAAAAGGAAGGGGGGGUUCUCCAGAGGCUGCUGCGGUCAGGGGCAGGGACUGCCACCAGAUGUGCCUGCCUUUCUAGGCUUUGAUUCGAAAGGGACAGCAGGAGGAAAUAUUGAGAGACAAAAGCCUCGGUUUAAAUGAUCAUUUUCUUUAUUUAAUAUGGCAGCAGACACACUCUGCAUAGGAUCAUCGUUCCGAGCACAAACUGGACUUUCCUACUUGCCUGACAGGAGUCACACAGAUCUCUGUUUGCUAAAUGAGCAUCCGAGAUUGAAAGACUGGUCACUGUUGAAGAUCUUCGUUUGUACGUGUCUCCCCUUGCUUCAGCGGAAGUAAAUCACGAUGAAGAGAAAAUCACAAGGCUGAGACUGAUGUUGUUUGGAUUAAUGUGUAUAAGCCACGCCUUAGACACUAACGACACUGGAAGAGUGAGGUAUGAAGUACACAAUAAGCAAAGUGAAGUGGAGUGCCAUUUAUCAAACACCAGCCAGGAAGGUUCAGUCCUUGCUUGUUACAUCUGCAACUUGGUCAGAUCAAGGAAAGAAUGGGGCCUUUUCCUUCUCUCUUGACUCCAUGGACUCGAUGGCUUCUGACAUUGUUUAUUUAUAUGGUGGAUUACACUUAAUGGAUUAUGUAUGUUGGACCACCUCUGAAUCUCUGGGAUGAAGCCUACUUGUUCAUGGUGGAUAUGUUUUUGAUGUGUUCCUGGAUUUGGCGUGUAAGUAAUUUAUUGAGAAUUUUUGCAUCUAUGUUAAUAAGGGAAAUUGAUUUGUAAUCUUUUUGUUGAAUCUUUUUGGUUCUUUUUGUUGUAAUCUUUUUGGUUUGGGUAUCAAAUAACUGUGGUAUCAUAAAACAAAUUAGUCAGUGUUUCUCUUGUUUUUAUUUUGUGGAAUAAUUUGACAACUAUUAGUGCUAAAACUUAUUUGAAAGUCUGGCAGAAUUCUAUAAUUAAGAUAAUCUGACCCUGGGCUUUGUUCAGUUUUGAAUAAUUUUAAUUUUUCAGCAUUAAAGAGAAUUUUAAAGACUUCUUUUAUUUUCUUGGGGGUUAUAUUCCUACUUAAAUUAUUUAUAUGUUGUUAAUUUAACUUUAGCAAAUGGUAUACCCUGUGGAAAUUAUCUACUUCCUAAUUUAGUAGAUUACAGAUUUUUAAACCAUGUCUUCAUGAUUCUCUGGAUUUUUAUCAAUUUCUGUUGUUUUUUUUCUCCUUUUUCAUUUCCAAUUUUUAAGAUUAUGAUAUUAUUUCUGUACCUUUUGGGUAAUUUGGGUAGGGUUUUAUAAAUCAUUUUUUAUUUUAUUAAAGAAUAUUUGUUUCAAUGAUUCUUUAUAUUAUGUGUUGUUUGUUGUAGUUGCUUCUAUGUUAUUGAUUUCAGCUUUGACUUUGAUUAUUUCUUGCUUUCUACUCCGUUUGGAUGUGAUUUUUCCCUUUUGUUGUAGAACUUUCAGGUAUGAUGUUAAGGUGCUAGUAUAAGUAUCCCCAUUUAAUAAAACCACUUAGUUGCUGCUAUGAAGUUACCAUUGAGAACAGCUUUCCCUAUGUCCCAUAAGUUUUCAUUCAAUUCUAGGAAGUUUCAAUUUUUUCUUUCUUACGUUUUGUCUUUACCCAUUUACUCUUCAGUCGAGAGCAGUUCUGCUCCCAUGAAUUUUUAAGUUUCUGUUGUUUUGGUUGCUGUUGAUAUUCAGAUUUAAUCUGUAAAAUUAAAAUCUACCAGUGGUCUGGUAGAUUGCAGGGUGUUAUUUAAAGUUUUUUGGUAUCUGUUUAGAAAUGCUUUGUAUCCAAGUAUGUUCUCAACUUUUGAGAAAGUUCCCCGAGGUGCUAAGAAGAAGGUAUACUCCUUUGUGUUUGAAUAAAAUGUUCUGUAGAUAUCUGUUAAGUCCAUCUCAUGUAUCAGGCCUAUUAGCUCAAAUAUUUUUCUAUUUUGAUUUUGUAUUGAUGAUCUGUGUAUUGGUAAGUGUGAGGUACUGAAGUCUCCCAGUCUCAGUGCAUGGUUUUCAGUAUGUGAUUUAAGCUGUAGUAGUGUUUCUUUUACAAACUUGGUUAUCUUUGUGUUUGGGGCAUAGAUAUUAAGCACCAAAAUGCCAUUGGGGUGGAUUUUUCCUUUAUCUCUUUUUAUUAGUUUUCAGUAUAUUUUGAUAGAUAUCAAAAUGG